GCCCCGGGGGCGGGCGUCUCCCGCCCUGACUGGAAGCGCCGGUGGCGACGCGCGGGGCUCUCCGGGUGGUUUCUCGGCGCUGUCGCCGCGGUCAUCCAAGUCACACCUCGUGCAGGCUUGAGAAUACCAAUGUAUUGAGGAAGCUACACACAUAUUCCAUCAACAGCACCAUGGCCACCACUGCAUGCAGUCACAAUGGACCAAAGUCUUCUACUCCCAUACUACCUGGGCACAGAGUUGAACACGGAGCUCAAGCAGAAUUUCUUCCCUGUCCUACUGCUCUGUGAUGCAUGCACUGCUUCUCUGAACAGCAAGCUCACAUGAAGUCAGUUAUUCCAAGUCAACAAAACCAGAAUCAUAUAAAAGAAGAAGAUGGACACAAACACAGAAUAAUGUUAAACACAAGUUCCUGCAGAAGAGACCCCUGCUGCAUUUCCGCAAGACACAAGAUGACAGACACAGCAAUUCAUCAUCCUGCUGAGCACCUUCAAAAAACUCCAUGCCUUUUGAAAGUGGUCACCCAGAACUGAUCGUCUUCACUGUGAAGUGAAGAAUAGCUGAGGUCUAGUGCCCUACUGAGCUGAAUGAGGAGUCUGUGAGGUCUGUUUAUCCUCAUUGCUUUGUUUUUUUUUUUAAAACCUGAAUUCCUCAUUAAUGCUUGACUGGGGAGAAGAAAAAUGGGAAGUGGAAGAAAGGGGAAAAUUUAACUCCCACAGAAGAAUAGAAUUCAAAAUUUUUUUUUAAGAAAAAAAGCACAUUUUUUUGAAUCAAAGUGUUUUUUACUAAUGCCACACUUUUCAGGAAAAGCACAACAUUGAAUACCAGCUCAUCUUCCUCUUGUGUAAUGAAAGAAGUUUCAAAAAGAAUUAUCUUCACAAAGAAGAACUUGUUUAAAAAUGAAGUCUUCCAACUAGCCUAUGGCAUCUAAAACCCAAGGUUACUUCCACUUCAUACGCAGUUUAUCGUGGCUCAGCUGGCAGCAAGACUACUUUAAUCCAAAAGUGAUGUCACAAUUUUUAAGCUGUCAUACGUCACUGUUUCUAUGACUGAAAAAAGAAUCUGCUCAUAUCUGUAACUGAAACAGUAACUGAGCUGGGCUGCACUAUGUAGCAGCCAAGUAAACCAAAGUGGAGCCUACAAAAGAAUUUUAAGAAGACAGCAUAUUAAGCAGCUUAAGAAAUGGAUAUAAAACUUGCUUCACAGAUCACACGCAUAACAUUAGUGAAAUCCAAUUCAAAGUGUCUGCUGAGAUGUUAUUCCCUGUUGAUCACAGCGUCACUACAUGCAAAACAAGACAACUAAUAGCCAAAAGCCUCCCUCAGGUUCCAAUAAAUAGUUGCAUAUAAUAUGUUUUAUGGAAAAUAUUCUUUGUCUGAAGUAGCUUCUAUUUUGAAUGUUAUUAACAA